GAGAGUAUAGCUCAGUGGUAGAGCACUUGCCCAGCAUGUAUGAGACCCUGGGUUUGAACCCCAGGGCUUCA
rfam:Ictidomys tridecemlineatus contig070542, whole genome shotgun sequence.